rnacentral:tRNA from 1 species
GGCCGAUUAGCUCAGUUGGUUAGAGCGCGUGCCUCACAUGCACGAGGUCGCUGGUUCGAAUCCAGCAUCGGCCACCA